rnacentral:rRNA from 1 species
UACGUAGGGGGCAAGCGUUGUCCGGAAUUAUUGGGCGUAAAGCGCGUGUAGGCGGCCAGAUAGGUCUGCUGUGAAAACUCGAGGCUCAACUUCGAGAUGUCGGCGGAAACCAUCUGGCUAGAGUCCGGAAGAGGAGAGUGGAAUUCCUGGUGUAGCGGUGAAAUGCGCAGAUAUCAGGAAGAACACCCGUGGCGAAGGCGGCUCUCUGGGACGGUACUGACGCUGAGACGCGAAAGCGUGGGGAGCGAACAGG